rnacentral:rRNA from 1 species
UACGAAGGGGGCUAGCGUUGUUCGGAAUUACUGGGCGUAAAGCGUAUGUAGGCGGAUCGUUAAGUCGGGGGUGAAAUCCCGAGGCUCAACCUCGGAACUGCCUUCGAUACUGGCGAUCUUCGAGUCCGGGAGAGGUGAGUGGAACUCCGAGUGUAGAGGUGAAAUUCGUAGAUAUUCGCAAGAACACCAGUGGCGAAGGCGGCUCACUGGCCCGAUACUGACGCUGAGGCACGAAAGCGUGGGGAGCAAACAGG